UCAUGUUCGCACAAUUCUCCGAACUUGUGAACGACUACUACAACAACGGAUUACCGUCCAAUUUGAGCGGGGGACCCAACCCCAGCCUGGAUUACGGCAUGAAAGGGGCAGAGAUCGCCAUGGCCUCGUACUUAUCUGAGAUUAACUACCUAGCCAACCCGGUCACCACCCAUGUCCAAAGCGCGGAGCAACACAACCAAGAUGUGAACUCACUGGGAUUGGUGUCAGCCCGCAAAACGGAGGAAGCCAUGGAGAUUCUCAAGCUCAUGAGCGCCACCUUCUUGGUAGGCUUGUGCCAGGCUGUCGACCUGCGUCAUGUCGAAGAGACCAUGCAGUCGGCCGUGAAGCAAGUAGUGACACAGGUGGCCAAGAAGACGCUCUUCAUGGGCAGCGACGGAUCACUGCUGCCAUCACGCUUCUGCGAAAAGGAACUACUGAUGGUAGUGGAUCGUCAGCCGGUGUUCAGCUACAUCGACGAUUCCACCAGUGAUUCAUACCCUCUAAUGGAGAAACUGCGAGGGGUGCUGGUGAGCCGUGCCUUGAAGAGUGCCGACAAGGAGACCUCCAACGCAGUGUUUAGGCAGAUUCCAGUGUUCGAGGCAGAGCUGAAGCUGCAGCUGAGCCGUGUGGUGCCCGCGGUGCGAGAAGCAUAUGACACAAAGGGACUAUCCUCGGUUCCCAACAGGAUUCAAGACUGUAGGACGUAUCCAUUAUACAAGCUAGUGCGCGGAGACUUGAAGACGCAGCUCCUGUCCGGGCAGAGGACGGUGUCUCCUGGGCAAGAGAUUGAGAAGGUGUUCAAUGCCAUUUCUGCAGGCCAAUUGGUGGCUCCUUUGUUGGAAUGCGUUCAAGGCUGGACAGGCACACCAGGGCCCUUCCCCGCUCGCGCCUCUUGCUAGUUGACACUGCUUCACCUCCCAAUUUUGUCAUCAUUCUUCGAUUCAUCUUCUCGCGUCACAUUGACGUUACAAUUCAUAUUGUACAUGAGUAGGAACUGCGUCACAUUGAAGUUACACUUAAUAUUGUACAUUAGUAGGGACUUGUAGGAGAUUCUUGUGUAAAUGCUUGAAGUUGAGGUUGUGUGGCGCCUUCACCCUUGACCUCUAUUAAGGGCUUAAAGCAUAAAGCGCUGCAAUCCAUGAAGAGUUUUUCAAUUGCAAUGCGUAGUAGUUGUGUAUAUAUUUCCUAACUUUAGAAGUAGAAGAGGAAGAAAGGUUCCAUUGUUUGCAAGCAAAAAUGAAAAAUGAAUAAGAGUUCACUUCAGCAACAACCAAGACAUUUACUUGAGUGGUCAUGGAUUGUUCUAAUUUGUUUAGAUGUCUUUGAAUGUUUAGUGGAGUUUCAAGAGGAUGGAUGUUUAGCGAUUGAUGUGAUGAUCUUCCCUUUAUUUUGUGACUUUGCUUUUGUUCUGUCCAAGCUUCCCUAUUGGUGCGCCAAAUGAUCAUGAAUUUGUUCAGGUAUUGGUUAAUUUGAAUGUUAUCAUUAGCACAAGAUAUAGUUGUUUUCAAAACUUUAAGAUUAGACAAGAUCAUGAAUUUGCUAGAAGAUGAUUUUAACCAUAUAUAUUAUUAACCCAAUGUGCUUUACACCAUGCCCAAAAUUUGGAUAUUAUAUUAUUCCAUGCCCAAGACUUGGAUAUUAUAUUGCACCAUGUCCAAAAUUUGGAUAUUCCAUCACACCAUGCCUAAUAUUUGAAUUUUAUGUUACACCAAGCCCAAAAUGUCUUGAAUACCACACCAUUUAACAUAUUCCAACUACAUUUGAAUUUUGAGAAUUUGGUCAAACCGGUGGAGGAUUAACUUUCUCAAUGACCGACAGACAACAAAUCACAGUUUUCAUGAAUUGUUGGCUGGGGCAUGCUACCAUGAUACCAUGAGUUCAAUGCAACCAACCAAAUAAGAGCCAAUUCCUUGCAGACUCUUCUCAGUUUCCAAUGCUACAGCAAGAGAUUCAAAAGUGACGAGAAACAGCUCAAAGAAACAGUGGGUAGUGUCGAACAAUCGCAGCUGAAUUAGAGGCUGCAAAUAUAAAAGCUCAAACGAACACAUGGUCCGGAGAUUCACCGAUGAAUUACAUUCCUGAAUUUCAGAUCCAUCGGCACAAUGCGCACUAGACACUCCCACUUCAUCUUCUUCCAACCUAAAUUUUCUAAAUAAGACUGUACUUCGCACCUCUGAUUGCAUUGUGACCAUACAUUGCCAAACUCCUGUCUUCCAGAAAUAAAUUGAGUGAACAAUAAGAACGCUAGAGUAGAUGCACUGCCAAUUUAGCACAGCGAGAGAAAUAUACCCACAGGCGCCAGCUCGUUCAGGUUCUGGAUACGAAACAGUGGAACCCUAGAUUUUAGCGUGUGUAAAGAGCUCGCUGAAGCAAGAACGUUAGGUUGAUUAAAUUAAGCGCGAACUCUAGCUCAGGAAGCAAUACCAUUGAAAUUGAAUUGCACACUUUGAAAUUGAAUUGCACACUUCUAUGCUACGCUAUGCAAUGCAAUAAUAUGAUAUGAUACAAAUUGGUGAGGAUGGGGAGUAAAAAGGAGAGGUGGGGUGGAAUCUAAGCGGAGUUGGGAGCGGCGCGGAGCACAAGCACUUCCAGUGUCAGUCCUGGUCCGAAGCCAAUGAAGAAUCCGAACUCGCUGCCCUCGCCCAAAGUGGACGCACCCACCUUCACAGACCUGUGCCGAAUCUGAUCCAACACAAACAGCACAGAGGCGCUAGACAUGUUGCCAAACUCGGACAAUAUGUCCCUGCUCCCUUGCAUCUUGUCCUUCGUCAGCUUCAGCUUCGCCUCCACCUGAUCGAGAAUGGCUGGACCUCCGGGAUGCACCGCCCAGAACAUCUCGUUCCAUGCCGGUGAUCCCACUGGCUUCCUGGCCUCGUUCAAAAACUUCUCGAUGUUCUUGGAGAUGAGCCCGGGUACAUCCUUCAUGAGGUGGAAGAUGAGCCCUGCUUCGGUGAGAUGUCCAUCGAUGGCUCCGUCACUCUCUGGCAAGAUGGUCUCUCCAGCCCAGUGCACUUCGAACAAUGGCUUCUCUACCUCAGGCUUGGGGUCGGAUCCAACCACGUACACGCCGGCGCCAUCGCCGAACAGAGCUGAGCCCACAAGCCCGUCCAAGUGGUUCUCGCUCGGGGCUCGGUAUGUGACUGCGGUCACCUCGCUCGCUACUGCCAGCACUCUGGCGCCCUUGUUGUUUUCGGCUAGAUCCUUGGCCACUCUGAGCACGGAUGCACCGCCGAAACACCCGGUUUGGUACAUCAUGACACGCUUCACAGUGGGCUUCAGGCCGAGCAGCUUGGCCAGGGCGUGGUCGGCUCCGGGCAUGUUGACGCCCGAGGUGGUGGCGAAGACGAUGUGGGUAAUGUCGGACUUGCGGCCGCCCCAUUCCUUGAUGGCCCUCUGGGCGGCCUCGGCGGCGAGCUUGGGGACCUGGACGACCACGAUGUCGUGGCGGACGUUCAGGGAGGGCUCCAUGUACGUGCAGAUGCCUGGGUUGGCCUUGAGCACCUCCUCCGUGAGGAACAUGUGGCGCUUCCUGAUGCCCGACUUGUCACAGAUGCGCUUGAAUUUGGCCUUCAGGGCUUCCUUCUCGCCGCAAUUGGUGAUGUUGAAGAAGAAGUCGGGGUACUCACUCUGCAGGAACUCCGCGGGAGGCACCGCAGUGCCGAUGCCUAGCACGCAGGCCGGCCCUUCAGCGCGGGGCUGGGCCCUGGGAAGCGCGGCCCUCGUAACAUCCCCAGCAGAAGCCAUUGGACAACCCCGGUCGAUUUCCUCGCUCUAGUUCUCAAUCUGUGCUGCCAAACGUAUUCCGACUUUGUCUGUUUGCUAAUCCUGCAACAAGAGAGGUUGUUCUACGCACCGGAUCAGUUAUGCUACCAGUUGGGAUCUGCGGAGACACCCCACUCUCUGAGUUCGCCACGAGCUAGUUUAUUUUCGUAAGUAACUUGAGUACAACGAUCGGAGAGAUUGCCAGAGAAAUGAUAGACGGUGUAGUUGGGUGGCGACUUCCGUUUUGAAGCUCGUAUCGACCCUGCUAUUUCAUGCACAGCGUGUGCCCUUUACGAGCAUCGCGAUGUUGGCACUUUCAUCAGGAACUUUCUGUGGAGUCAUUGCUGUUGAAAGCGGUUGACCUUUUUUCUGCUUUCACCCCACCACUCUGCUACUCCAUGUGUACACAUGCCAUCUAGAGGCGAGUUUUGAAUUUCACAAUUGCACGACAAUUUUUGAAGUUCGCAAUCGAAAUUUGCACAGAACUCAUGGUCUUGACUUGGCCCUUUGAAAUCUUAUAUUUUGGUCAGUUUUGACAUCAGCGAAACGAUCCACUCCAGCAGACCAGCGUGACUGGGAGACUCUGAGAGUCAGGCUGAAGACCACGAAGAAUCGCAGCGCCUUCGUCUUUCCAAACAAGAACACGCGUCCGACUUUCCUCCAAUAGAAACUGGGUCCACCCCAGAGAACCUGCGAAUCACCGACAAGAACAUGAGGGGAAUUGUAGUUUGACCUAGUGUUGAAGUAAACGACAGGCGAACUAAAUUUCACAACCGUGUAUCAUGAACCAAUCUGGAGGACUCUCAACCUUCAUGUGGCACCAGGAGGCUCAUAGGUCCAGGAAGGGCACCACUUUCAACAUUUCAUCGCCACCUCGGACUGUUUUCACCGCAAUAUACCCACCUUUUUGGACUAGGGCCAGCCGCUAGAAUACCUUUCGACGGGGACACCGCGCUCUAGCCAGAGGCAUUAGUUGCAUAAAGAGCAUUCCCCGAAUCUCAUUAAUCUUCACUUCGCCCUGAGGCCCACUCAAGCAGCGAAUGCCGGACAGGGCCUGCAUCCCACCCUUCAGCAAUUGAUUCACCUCCCAUCUCUUGAAAGAUCAGAGAGUGGGGUUGGAGAGAAGGUUGGAUAGAAUUUCUAUGGGCGUUGAUUUUGGGUGAUUUGGAGUUGAUAUGAAUUUGUAAGAGCUUUGCAAAGUUGAGUUAUUUUUCGGAUGACUUGGGUUUUAUGAAAUAAAAUGGGGUUGGCACCACGAGCUGUCGUCGGAUCAGGUGAGCAAAUUGAUGCGGCAUCUUCAGACAUGAUGAUGCUCGAUGAUAACACAUCUCCGUACUGCAUUGGCCUACUCGGUAAUGGAGCAGUUCAUGGUGCGGAUCCUCUCAACUGGGCCAAGACCGCCAAGGCCAUGGAAUGCAGCCACCUCGAAGAAAUCAAGCGGAUGGUCGACACUUACCAAAAUGCCACCCAGGUCAUGAUCGAGGGAGCCACCCUCACUGUACCUCAGGUAGCAGCCAUUGCUCGCAGACCUGACGUGCAUGUCGUGCUCGAUGCUGCCAAUGCCAAGAGUAGAGUGGACGAGAGCUCCAACUGGGUGCUCGACAGGAUCAUGGGCGGAGGUGACAUCUACGGCGUUACCACCGGGUUCGGAGCGACCUCUCAUCGUCGCACGCAGCAAGGAGUGGAGCUCCAGCGCGAACUCAUCCGCUUCCUGAAUGCGGGAGUCCUCAGCAAGGGUAACUCCCUGCCAUCCGAGACUGCCCGAGCGGCGAUGCUAGUGCGUACCAACACGCUGAUGCAGGGCUAUUCUGGCAUCCGCUGGGAGAUCCUCCAAGCUAUGGAGAAGCUACUCAACGCGCACGUCACCCCCAAGUUGCCCUUGCGGGGUACCAUCACGGCAUCCGGCGACCUCGUCCCCUUGUCGUAUAUCGCCGGCCUGCUUACCGGUCGCCCCAAUUCCAAAGCCGUCACCGAGGACGGACGAGAGGUUUCCGCGCUGGAGGCCUUGCGCAUCGCAGGCGUGGAGAAGCCCUUCGAGCUGGCGCCCAAGGAAGGGCUCGCCCUUGUCAACGGCACCGCAGUCGGUUCCGCCCUCGCUUCCACCGUGUGCUACGAUGCCAACAUCAUGGUGUUGCUCGCCGAGGUUCUGUCCGCGCUCUUUUGCGAGGUAAUGCAGGGCAGCCCGAAUUUGCCGACCCCCUGACUCACAAGCUGAAGCACCACCCCGGACAGAUGGAAGCUGCGGCUGUCAUGGAGUGGGUGCUGGACGGGAGUUCCUUCAUGAAGGCUGCCGCCAAGUUCAAUGAGACCGACCCCCUGCGCAAGCCCAAGCAGGACAGAUACGCGCUGCGAACUUCCCCGCAGUGGCUGGGCCCUCAGGUGGAGGUCAUCCGCAACGCCACCCACGCCAUCGAGCGGGAGAUCAACUCUGUGAACGACAAUCCCAUCAUCGACGCUGCCAGGGGCAUCGCCCUGCACGGCGGCAACUUCCAGGGCACGCCCAUCGGCGUGUCUAUGGACAACACGCGCCUGGCGCUGGCCGCCAUCGCUAAGCUCAUGUUCGCACAAUUCUCCGAACUUGUGAACGACUACUACAACAACGGAUUACCGUCCAAUUUGAGCGGGGGACCCAACCCCAGCCUGGAUUACGGCAUGAAAGGGGCAGAGAUCGCCAUGGCCUCGUACUUAUCUGAGAUUAACUACCUAGCCAACCCGGUCACCACCCAUGUCCAAAGCGCGGAGCAACACAACCAAGAUGUGAACUCACUGGGAUUGGUGUCAGCCCGCAAAACGGAGGAAGCCAUGGAGAUUCUCAAGCUCAUGAGCGCCACCUUCUUGGUAGGCUUGUGCCAGGCUGUCGACCUGCGUCAUGUCGAAGAGACCAUGCAGUCGGCCGUGAAGCAAGUAGUGACACAGGUGGCCAAGAAGACGCUCUUCAUGGGCAGCGACGGAUCACUGCUGCCAUCACGCUUCUGCGAAAAGGAACUACUGAUGGUAGUGGAUCGUCAGCCGGUGUUCAGCUACAUCGACGAUUCCACCAGUGAUUCAUACCCUCUAAUGGAGAAACUGCGAGGGGUGCUGGUGAGCCGUGCCUUGAAGAGUGCCGACAAGGAGACCUCCAACGCAGUGUUUAGGCAGAUUCCAGUGUUCGAGGCAGAGCUGAAGCUGCAGCUGAGCCGUGUGGUGCCCGCGGUGCGAGAAGCAUAUGACACAAAGGGACUAUCCUCGGUUCCCAACAGGAUUCAAGACUGUAGGACGUAUCCAUUAUACAAGCUAGUGCGCGGAGACUUGAAGACGCAGCUCCUGUCCGGGCAGAGGACGGUGUCUCCUGGGCAAGAGAUUGAGAAGGUGUUCAAUGCCAUUUCUGCAGGCCAAUUGGUGGCUCCUUUGUUGGAAUGCGUUCAAGGCUGGACAGGCACACCAGGGCCCUUCCCCGCUCGCGCCUCUUGCUAGUUGACACUGCUUCACCUCCCAAUUUUGUUCCGUUCAUCUUCGUGUGGGUCACAUUGACGUUACAAUUAACUAAUAUUGUACAUUAGUAGGAAGUGCGUCACAUUGACGUUACAAUUAACAUUGUACAUUAGUAGGAGAUUCUUGUGUAAAUGCUUGGAGUUGAGGUUGUGUGGUGCCUUCACCCUUGACCACCUCUGUUAACUCACACAGCUUUUAAAUUGCAAUUGCAAUGCGUAGUAGUUGUGUAUAUAUUUCCUAACUUUAGAAGUAGAAGAGGAAGAAAGGUUCCAUUGUUUGCAAGCAAAAAUGAAAAAUGAAUAAGAGUUCACUUCAGCAACAACCAAGACAUUUACUUGAGUGGUCAUGGAUUGUUCUAAUUUGUUUAGAUGUCUUUGAAUGUUUAGUGGAGUUUCAAGAGGAUGGAUGUUUAGCGAUUGAUGUGAUGAUCUUCCCUUUAUUUUGUGACUUUGCUUUUGUUCUGUCCAAGCUUCCCUAUUGGUGCGCCAAAUGAUCAUGAAUUUGUUCAGGUAUUGGUUAAUUUGAAUGUUAUCAUUAGCACAAGAUAUAGUUGUUUUCAAAACUUUAAGAUUAGACAAGAUCAUGAAUUUGCUAGAAGAUGAUUUUAACCAUAUAUAUUAUUAACCCAAUGUGCUUUACACCAUGCCCAAAAUUUGGAUAUUAUAUUAUUCCAUGCCCAAGACUUGGAUAUUAUAUUGCACCAUGUCCAAAAUUUGGAUAUUCCAUCACACCAUGCCUAAUAUUUGAAUUUUAUGUUACACCAAGCCCAAAAUGUCUUGAAUACCACACCAUUUAACAUAUUCCAACUACAUUUGAAUUUUGAGAAUUUGGUCAAACCGGUGGAGGAUUAACUUUCUCAAUGACCGACAGACAACAAAUCACAGUUUUCAUGAAUUGUUGGCUGGGGCAUGCUACCAUGAUACCAUGAGUUCAAUGCAACCAACCAAAUAAGAGCCAAUUCCUUGCAGACUCUUCUCAGUUUCCAAUGCUACAGCAAGAGAUUCAAAAGUGACGAGAAACAGCUCAAAGAAACAGUGGGUAGUGUCGAACAAUCGCAGCUGAAUUAGAGGCUGCAAAUAUAAAAGCUCAAACGAACACAUGGUCCGGAGAUUCACCGAUGAAUUACAUUCCUGAAUUUCAGAUCCAUCGGCACAAUGCGCACUAGACACUCCCACUUCAUCUUCUUCCAACCUAAAUUUUCUAAAUAAGACUGUACUUCGCACCUCUGAUUGCAUUGUGACCAUACAUUGCCAAACUCCUGUCUUCCAGAAAUAAAUUGAGUGAACAAUAAGAACGCUAGAGUAGAUGCACUGCCAAUUUAGCACAGCGAGAGAAAUAUACCCACAGGCGCCAGCUCGUUCAGGUUCUGGAUACGAAACAGUGGAACCCUAGAUUUUAGCGUGUGUAAAGAGCUCGCUGAAGCAAGAACGUUAGGUUGAUUCGAUAACCUGAUUUCGCUUUUAAAAUUAAGCGCGAACUCUAGCUCAGGAAGGAAUACUAUUGAAAUUGAAUUGCACACUUCUAUGCUACGCUAUGCAAUGCAAUAAUAUGAUAUGAUACAAAUUGGUGAGGAUGGGGAGUAAAAAGGAGAGGUGGGGUGGAAUCUAAGCGGAGUUGGGAGCGGCGCGGAGCACAAGCACUUCCAGUGUCAGUCCUGGUCCGAAGCCAAUGAAGAAUCCGAACUCGCUGCCCUCGCCCAAAGUGGACGCACCCACCUUCACAGACCUGUGCCGAAUCUGAUCCAACACAAACAGCACAGAGGCGCUAGACAUGUUGCCAAAGUCAAAGUUUUGGAAAUCUCUUUUUGAGAUAUUGAAGGUGGAUAUCAAGCUUUCUUCGGCAUUUCAUCCUCAAACGGACGGCCAAACAGAACGGGUGAAUCAAGUUUUAGAGCAAUAUUUACGUUGCACCAUCAACUAUCAACAAGAUGAUUGGGCCGCAUAUCUACCGCUAGCCGAGUUCGCAUAUAACAACACCCUUCAUGCGUCAACUCAACAAACGCCAUUCUUUUCCAAUUAUGGAUACCAUCCAAAGCUUGACUUAUGGAGUUCGUCAACGAUUAACAAUCCGGCAGCUGAAGGAUUGGUGAAGGAGCUUUCGCAACUUCAAACUACAUUGAAGCUUCAAUUGUAAACUGCCCAAGAAUCUUACAAGGCGUCCGUGGACAAAUUUCAGAAUCAGGCACCUAAAUUCACGAUUGGAGACAAAGUUUGGCUGCUUCGACGAAAUAUUAAGACCAAGCGGCCAUGUGAGAAAUUGGACUAUCGGAGAUUGGGACCAUUUGUUAUCCAGAAGCAGAUCAAUCCUGUAGCGUAUCGUCUGGAGUUACCAGCUACUAUGAAGGUACAUCCUGUCUUUCAUGUUUCUUUGUUGGAGCCUUAUCGAAAAUCGUCUUUUCCUGGAAGAGUAUAAUGUCCACCACCUAGCAUAGAAAUAGAGAACCACAAAGAAUACGAGGUGGAAAAGGUCCUGGAUUCACGACAAAGACGGGGUAAAUUAGAAUACUUUGUGCAUUGGAGCGGUUACGAUAUUAAUGAACGAAUAUGGGAGCCGACCAAAAAUCUCGCGAAUGCGCCGCAAAAGGUACAGGAGUUUCAUCGACGAUAUCCUGAGAAACCCAAGCCGGUUCGACGAUAGCUUCUUACUGAAGCUUGCUCAUCCAGAAAACAGAAAAGAAGAGAGAGCACCACCAAAAUCCAUAGUUGAUGUAGUCAUUCUCUCCAAGAUAGCGUAGAACUUUGUUAGUAGCCCAAGUUUGUUCUUAUUGUUUUAGCCUUUGAAUAUGGAUAGCUAAGAUACUACACUUGUCAUGUCAUCUCAAGCAACUAGCUCACGAAGACGACCGCGAGAUGAAGAAUCGCCUGCACCACGACGACGUCGAAGGAUUCUGAGCAACAAAUCGCUGGUGAUUGUAUUUGAGGUCGAGCCUGCCUACAAUGGUCAGCUAGAAGGAGUGUUUGUAGGACAAUUUCACAAUGAAGACACGGAGGUUCAAACUGGGUCAGAAGUUGAAGGCGUGGGCCACUACCGUUGGCUUCAAGGACCAUUGAAUCACUUGCCUCGUGAACAACAAUUGGAGUUCAUAGCAGAGGUUAUGCGACAGAUCUUCAUUUUCUUGCGUUGGUAUUGACUGACGAUAACAUUGCUUCUCGGAGACCUCGAAGCUAAAGGAGGAGGUGAUGUUAGGGACAUAGUCCUUAGACCUUUUUAGAGACAAGUUUCUAGAACCUUCUAGAAAGAAGUCUCUAGAAACUUCCAGAAGAUUCUUUGAAUAUUUUCUUAGAAUAUUCUUUAAAGAUUUCCUAAAGAUUCUAUGAAGAUUCCCUAAAGAUUCCCUUAGAAGGCUCUAGAAGAUUCUUAGAAUAUUCUAGUAGAUUCUAGGAAGUUACUUGAGAAGCUUCAUAGCUCUUGGGUAGUUGCUCGAGAAGCUUCAUAGUUCUUGGGAAGCUUCUUGAUGCGCUUCCUUAGAACCAUAGGCCAGUAGUAUAUAUAGGAGUCGAGGCUGAAGAGUUCUUCAGUCUCGACAACACAUCUCUUGAAGCUCUAGCUCAAUCCUCUUGGCGUUGCUCUUGUACUCAUCUGAUAAUCUAGUUCUUGUCAUUUCUUCUUGAACUUCUUGUUUAGAUUUCUUGUUUGUAUUUUUGGUCCGUGACAUAAAGAACAUUCUACAUCAACAUAUUGAAGAAUCGUUGGCGCAUGUCGGAGGAUGCACAGAUUCAGGGAGGAUAGAUGUCAUGAUAUAACACGAUUAAUAGAUGAAAGAGUGUGGAGAUUAUUAUAAUUUAAGAGAUCUUAGUUCAAAGUAUUAGAACAAAUUAUCUUAGAAAUAUAGUUAAUAGCCAAAGGGAUAGAAAAAUUAAAAGGUAUCAAUGCUGCCUUUUAGAAAGGUGAUUUCUACUUACUUUGUAGUACCAUAAGUAAGGCAAAUCAAAGUAGAUUGAGAAAAUAAAUCAUAUAGGAAUCUUUAGAAGAAAGUUAAGAGUAAAUUCUAGAAAAAAAUUACUUAGAAAAACUAGAUAUUGAUACCCGGAGAGACCCGGUUAUGAACCAGGGUGGAAAUCAGACCUUGAGGCACAAAACCGAGUCUUGACGACGACUCCGGGACUCUUUGGCAGAUCAGAGAGUGGGGUUGGAGAGAAGGUUGGAUAGAAUUUCUAUGGGCGUUGAUUUUGGGUGAUUUGGAGUUGAUAUGAAUUUGUAAGAGCUUUGCAAAGUUGAGUUAUUUUUCGGAUGACUUGGGUUUUAUGAAAUAAAAUGGGGUUUAUGUUUUGAGUGAUUUCGAGAGUUUUGUUGCAGAUCUAUAGGUGAAUUUUUUUGAUGAAUACAUGUUGUGAAUUUGAGCACAUCUCCGUACUGCAUUGGCCUACUCGGUAAUGGAGCAGUUCAUGGUGCGGAUCCUCUCAACUGGGCCAAGACCGCCAAGGCCAUGGAAUGCAGCCACCUCGAAGAAAUCAAGCGGAUGGUCGACACUUACCAAAAUGCCACCCAGGUCAUGAUCGAGGGAGCCACCCUCACUGUACCUCAGGUAGCAGCCAUUGCUCGCAGACCUGACGUGCAUGUCGUGCUCGAUGCUGCCAAUGCCAAGAGUAGAGUGGACGAGAGCUCCAACUGGGUGCUCGACAGGAUCAUGGGCGGAGGUGACAUCUACGGCGUUACCACCGGGUUCGGAGCGACCUCUCAUCGUCGCACGCAGCAAGGAGUGGAGCUCCAGCGCGAACUCAUCCGCUUCCUGAAUGCGGGAGUCCUCAGCAAGGGUAACUCCCUGCCAUCCGAGACUGCCCGAGCGGCGAUGCUAGUGCGUACCAACACGCUGAUGCAGGGCUAUUCUGGCAUCCGCUGGGAGAUCCUCCAAGCUAUGGAGAAGCUACUCAACGCGCACGUCACCCCCAAGUUGCCCUUGCGGGGUACCAUCACGGCAUCCGGCGACCUCGUCCCCUUGUCGUAUAUCGCCGGCCUGCUUACCGGUCGCCCCAAUUCCAAAGCCGUCACCGAGGACGGACGAGAGGUUUCCGCGCUGGAGGCCUUGCGCAUCGCAGGCGUGGAGAAGCCCUUCGAGCUGGCGCCCAAGGAAGGGCUCGCCCUUGUCAACGGCACCGCAGUCGGUUCCGCCCUCGCUUCCACCGUGUGCUACGAUGCCAACAUCAUGGUGUUGCUCGCCGAGGUUCUGUCCGCGCUCUUUUGCGAGGUAAUGCAGGGCAAGCCCGAAUUUGCCGACCCCCUGACUCACAAGCUGAAGCACCACCCCGGACAGAUGGAAGCUGCGGCUGUCAUGGAGUGGGUGCUGGACGGGAGUUCCUUCAUGAAGGCUGCCGCCAAGUUCAAUGAGACCGACCCCCUGCGCAAGCCCAAGCAGGACAGAUACGCGCUGCGAACUUCCCCGCAGUGGCUGGGCCCUCAGGUGGAGGUCAUCCGCAACGCCACCCACGCCAUCGAGCGGGAGAUCAACUCUGUGAACGACAAUCCCAUCAUCGACGCUGCCAGGGGCAUCGCCCUGCACGGCGGCAACUUCCAGGGCACGCCCAUCGGCGUGUCUAUGGACAACACGCGCCUGGCGCUGGCCGCCAUCGCUAAGCUCAUGUUCGCACAAUUCUCCGAACUUGUGAACGACUACUACAACAACGGAUUACCGUCCAAUUUGAGCGGGGGACCCAACCCCAGCCUGGAUUACGGCAUGAAAGGGGCAGAGAUCGCCAUGGCCUCGUACUUAUCUGAGAUUAACUACCUAGCCAACCCGGUCACCACCCAUGUCCAAAGCGCGGAGCAACACAACCAAGAUGUGAACUCACUGGGAUUGGUGUCAGCCCGCAAAACGGAGGAAGCCAUGGAGAUUCUCAAGCUCAUGAGCGCCACCUUCUUGGUAGGCUUGUGCCAGGCUGUCGACCUGCGUCAUGUCGAAGAGACCAUGCAGUCGGCCGUGAAGCAAGUAGUGACACAGGUGGCCAAGAAGACGCUCUUCAUGGGCAGCGACGGAUCACUGCUGCCAUCACGCUUCUGCGAAAAGGAACUACUGAUGGUAGUGGAUCGUCAGCCGGUGUUCAGCUACAUCGACGAUUCCACCAGUGAUUCAUACCCUCUAAUGGAGAAACUGCGAGGGGUGCUGGUGAGCCGUGCCUUGAAGAGUGCCGACAAGGAGACCUCCAACGCAGUGUUUAGGCAGAUUCCAGUGUUUGAGGCAGAGCUGAAGCUGCAGCUGAGCCGUGUGGUGCCCGCGGUGCGAGAAGCAUAUGACACAAAGGGACUAUCCUCGGUUCCCAACAGGAUUCAAGACUGUAGGACGUAUCCAUU
rnacentral:lncRNA from 1 species